GUGUUAGCUUCAGCAGCACAUAUACUAAAAUUGGAAUGAUACAUAGAAGAUUAGCAUGGCCCCUGUGCAAGAAAAAUAAAUAAAAAAUAAAAAAAGUUCAGAUGAUU